rnacentral:lncRNA from 1 species
AUGAGCCUUGCACAACACAAUGCCGCUGCCUGCGGGGCGAUGCGUUCUGGGGCCGGGGACUUUGUUCCGUCCUGUGGAUUCACUUCCUUCUUUGUGAAUCAGGAAAUAAAUAAGCCUGCGGUGGCCCUCGCGUUGUGCUGGUGGGUCCUCGCCGCGAGGGUCCGACUUACUGUCUCUGAGUCGCUGAGGGCUGCUCUGGUCUCAGGGCCAGCUUUGCGUCAGCGGACAUCAUUCCCGGUCCGGCUGGAAAAUGAGUUCCGGGGUGAGCUGCUGAGUCAGAGGUGGACACAAGGAGACAAAGCCAGCAACUGCAGGACCUCGAGGCUCCUCCUGGGCCGACGCGGCAAGGUGAGGCGCUUGGAGGGCAGCCCCUUCCCUGCCACCUGCCCCCCGCCCUGGGUCUGGGCAGGGCUCCUUCUCACUUCCAAGCAUGGGGCACGGAGGUGACUUUUGUCUGGUCACCACGAGUCUAGGGUAGACAGAGGGUUACAUGGGGGCUAGGACCAUCAGUGAUCUGGUCACUGUGAACCUUAAGGAAGAAAAAUGACUCUGAAUAGAGUGAAACUAAAAUAUGACAGCAGGGUGUUGCCUGGGCCAGGUGGGGGCUCUGGGUCUGGUCACACGGGGCUGUCCCCGUAGCUGCUCCCCAGGCAGGCCGAAUGCUUGGUAGACUUUGCUGCGGGAGCUCACGGCAUCCGUUGACCUUGUUUCUUUCCAUCUUCCCAAGUGGGGGCAGAUGGCACAUGCCCUGCUCAUGUCUGCCUGGAACUCACUGAUUGGGUUGACUCAUGCUCCCUGCCUAAGCAUAGAUGCUCCCAAACCCAGGGCAUACCAUGUGCUUACAGCCACACCAACUCUAGAACUUUCCAUGAUGCACUCUGGGUGAAGCCGGCUUCCCAGGGUCUGAUGACCCUCAGCGAUGGAAGUGGAAGGGACAACAGGCCUGUGGGCAUUCCUUCCCAGACCUCAGGCUCCAGGUCUCUCAGUUUCUUCACAGGGUGAUGAUCUCCAUCAAGGAUCCAAGCCAUGAUGCACGGCAUGGCCCAGGGUGCAGACGGGAAGGGCUAGAAAAUUUUAGGCAACAAGUUCACUUCAUGGUACUUGUACUUUACUCUCAAAACCUAACAUCUUUCCUUUGAACCUGGUGACUAGAAUAUAGUCUUUAAUGGGUCUCUUAGCAUCCUGUUAAGCACCUCCACUCCCACUUAGAUUCCUGUAGGCUUGUCGGUGCUCUGUCAUGUUGGAGCUGGAGGCAAAGGGAAAGUCAGUAGUACCGAUCCUGUAUUAUUUAUUUAUUUAUUUAAAAAUUUUUUUGAUCCUAUAUUUAAAUUUACAUUUUAUUCAUCAAGGAUUCUUGACAUUAAUUUCGAUGUUUUAAAAUGUUGCAUUAAACUAUUAUCUUGAUCACUAAGUUUUUGUUUCCUACCCUAAAUUUGCACCUGGGCAAAUGCCUCACUCAUCUCUUGAUGCUCAGUGUUGAGCAUUCAAGCAGAUUUUGUGACUGAAAGAGUUAUUUGGUCUGAGGUCAGGGGCUCUGGACAUGAAUCGAUAGCUGUUGGAGGUGUGUAAGGACACACAGAAGGCCUCUGUCUCCCUAUGGCUCGGGUUGACAAGCUCAGAGGGUGCAAGAACCACUGUGAGCAGCCUGGUGGCCUAUGCUCAGGCUUUCUUGGCAACAUUGGCUCUUUCACAACCGCUCCA